AAGGAAAGGAAAGGAAAGGAAAGGAAAGGAAAGGAAAGGAAAGGAAAGGAAAGGAAAGAAAAGAAAAGAAAAGAAAAGAAAAGAAAAGAAAAGAAAAGAAAAGAAAAGAAAAGAAAAGAAAAGAAAAGAAAAGAAAAGAAAAGAAAGAAAAGAAAAGAAAAGAAAAGAAAAGAAAAGAAAAGAAAAGAAAAGAAAAGAAAAUUCAAGUGGAAAGGUUAUAAACAGGAAAGAGAAGACAUGGAAAACGUGGCAGCCCUCAAGGCCAGUAAAGGGGAUCUAUUGGUGGCCAAGAUGAGAAGUCAGUGACAUGAACUAUGGCAAAUGCCGCAAGGAGAUUUUGCACCUAAUUUUUAAACUUGCACCCUGCUGCAUUAAUUUAUAAAUUGCUUUUUCAAUACGUUUGUCUUUUCAGUGCAUUUUAACUUCUUGCAUUUCUUGUUCAAGUUCCAUGUUUCAGCUAUCCUCAGUGUGAAUGAGGAAUUUUUUAAGGUUUUUUUUAAUGAUAAAUACAUGGUUUGCCUUCAUAUCCCACCUAUUUCUUGGGUUAGGAAAACUGCAGAACUGUACUUCUGUCCUGCUUAGGCCUCUGAAAUAUUUGCAGCUUGUGAUACACCUUCAUUAUGUUUCUACCCUGAGCUGACAAUUUCCAGUAUAUUUAAUUUCACACAAACGAGUCCCCAGCUCUGCCACCUUUCUUUAACCUCUUCUUUCCCUACCAAAGGCCAUCAGGGAUGGGGAGAUGAGCAGUGCACAUCCCACAGGGAGAUGCAGGAUGCCCAAACCUCCUUCCUAAGUGGCUUUAGGUAAUUCACACCCCCCAAUUGUACAGGCAUUAUAGAUUUUUUCCAAAUUCUGACUGUCUCAGCAUUUGUCAUUUUGCUAACCUGAUGUGUUGUCAGAUUCAUCUGCUGCACUCUGAGGAUUGUGGUUUGAUGAUUUUGAGUCAUCCUGAAGCAGCCUCUUGUCCCUCCAGCCCUCUUUCCCUUCCUGGCUGUUUAUCAGGUUAUUAAACAGCCCAGUGAGCUGGGGCUGGAAGAGUUCCUUCGCAGAGCUCGGCUCUUGUUUGAAAGCCCAGGGCUGUCUGGAGGGUCUGUGAUGAUCAAAGUGUCCCCUGCAGGCUCCCUGGAGCUGCCAGCCCCAGAGCCCCCUCCCAUCCACCCAUCAGAGGGGACAGCCAAAGGCACCUCCCUGAACGUUGGCCAAAUUCACCGGGGAGAUUUUGCAGACACGGCUCCGAGGUGGGAGCAGGGAUCCUUUCCAGGCCAUCAAGUGCCGACAUCUGAUCAGCCUGGACAAUGCAGGGAGAGUUAUCAGUGCAUCGUGGCCCUGCUGCAUCCUCUGCAUCCCUGCCAGAGGUUGGGAAAGGCCUGGAAUUCUGUGAUACCGAUCUCGUUCUCCCCUCCUGGCUGCACCUGCAGAUCCCCAUCAGGUCCCUCUGACCCAGAGGGGACACAGACAGUGACAUCCCCUGUUCCUUUGUGUUCCCAGCAGGGCUGGAUCCCAUCUGAUGUUGGGCAACCGCAUCUGGGGCAGACAGGACGUGCCUGCCAGCAUGACUGGGGAGUUCUUGUGCCAUCUCUGCAAGCCCCAAACAGCACGACUUGGAUGAAUUCCUGUGCAUCCCCGGCAUCCUCUGCUCCGCAAGGAAAUCCUCUAUAAAACCCAGCAGCUCCAGCCUGCCUGCACAUCACCUCCUCCCUCCGAGGUCUGCGGCUCUCCCUCUCUCCAGCCUCGCUGAGAUCCAGCUCGACUCCAGCCAUGAAGUUCCUCUACCUUGUCUUUGCCCUUUUCCUCCUCUUCUCCCUGGCCACUCCAGGCUAUGGCAAGUUCAGGAAGACCUGUGCUCCCUUUGGGGUACUGCUCCCAAAAGUGUCGCGUGGUGGAUUUCCAAUCCAGCGCUGGUGACUGCAAGGUACACCUGCUGCAUCCCACCCCCGCUGGAAGGGGAAAUAGGAGCUGAGAAGGGAGCACCUGGGGAAGAGGAGGCACCACUGUGGAUUUGGGAGCAGAUUCCCAGCUGUCUGACCCCAUUGUCAUCCCCUCCUCUGAAAAAAUAAAUAAAACAAAGGAAAAAAAGGAGAUGUAA